rnacentral:rRNA from 1 species
UACAGAGGUCCCAAGCGUUGUUCGGAUUCACUGGGCGUAAAGGGUGCGUAGGUGGUUUGUUAAGUCGGAUGUGAAAGCUCGGAGCUCAACUCCGAAAUGGCAUUGGAAACUACCUUGCUAGAGGAUUGGAGGGGGGACUGGAAUACUUGGUGUAGCAGUGAAAUGCGUAGAUAUCAAGUGGAACACCAGUGGCGAAGGCGAGUCCCUGGACAAUACCUGACACUGAGGCACGAAAGCUAGGGGAGCAAACAGG